AUCCAUUUGCAACUCUAUUUUUAAGUGACAUUUCACUUCAAACUAGAAAUUGCUUAUAACAUGCAUAAAUAACAACUACACUCUUGAAAUUUGAAACGUUUGGAAAGUUUUGGCAUUUUUUUUGUAUUAUAUGGCAAAAAGAAGAAAUUGACAUGCCGUGCCACGGACAGAUCGCGAACAUAUUUCCCGCGCCCGUGCUAGCAGGCGUCAGGGCUCAGGCCCAACUUCGUGACACUGGCCUCCGCAGACGGUCCACACUGAUACAUAUACAAAUGGAUAGGCUAUGCAUUGUGGCCCAUUGGGUCAAAAAAAUAAACAAGAGGGCACAUGAUUUGAUUGGGCUG
rnacentral:lncRNA from 1 species